ACGGGAGGCAGCAGUGAGGAAUAUUGGUCAAUGGACGAGAGUCUGAACCAGCCAAGUAGCGUGCAGGAUGACGGCCCUAUGGGUUGUAAACUGCUUUUGUACGGGAAUAAAGUGACCUACGUGUAGGUUUUUGCAUGUACCGUAAGAAUAAGGACCGGCUAAUUCCGUGCCAGCAGCCGCGGUAAUACGGAAGGUCCGGGCGUUAUCCGGAUUUAUUGGGUUUAAAGGGUGCGUAGGCGGGCUGUUAAGUCAGCGGUGAAACCCCCGGGCUCAACCCGGGGACUGCCAUUGAAACUGGCGGCCUUGAGUACGUUGGGAGUGCGCGGAAUGUGUGGUGUAGCGGUGAAAUGCAUAGAUAUCACACAGAACACCGAUCGCGUAGGCAGCGCACUACGCCGCAACUGACGCUGAGGCACGAAGGCGCGGGGAUCGAACAGGAUUAGAUACCCUGGUA
rnacentral:rRNA from 1 species